GACGUAGGAUGCAAGCGUUGUCCGGAUUCAUUGGGCGUAAAGAGUUCGUAGGUGGUUUGUUAAGUCUGGUGUUAAAGAUCGGGGCUCAACCCUGGGAGUGCACUGGAUACUGGCAGACUCGAGUAUGGUAGAGGCAAGCGGAAUUCCCAGUGUAGCGGUGAAAUGCGUAGAUAUUGGGAAGAACACCGGUGGCGCAAGCGGCUUGCUGGGCCAUAACUGACACUGAGGAACGAAAGCUAGGGGAGCAAAUGGG
rnacentral:rRNA from 1 species